rnacentral:rRNA from 1 species
GACGAACGCUGGCGGCGCGCUUAACACAUGCAAGUCGAGCGAAGCGGCGGACGGGAGAGUAACCCGUGAGUAACCUGCCUUAGACAUUGGGAUAGCCUCGGGAAACCGGGAUUAAUACCACAUGGUCUAAGAUGGACUCGCGUCCCAUUAGCUAGUUGGAGAGUAACGGCCCAACAAGGCGACGAUGGGUAGCCGGCCUGAGAGGGUGAACGGCAACAUUGGAACUGAGAAACGGUACAAACGCGACGGGAGGCAGCAGUGGGGAAUAUUGCACAAUGGAGGGAACUCUGAUGCAGCGGCGCCGCGUGAACGAAGAAGGCUUUCGAGUCGUAAAGUUCUUUGAUAUGGGAAGCGGUACCAUAAGAGAAAGCCCCGACUAACUACGUGCCAGCAGCCGCGGUAAUUC